rnacentral:tRNA from 1 species
GGGAUAUAGCUCAGUUGGUAAAGUGCUUGCCUCAUGUGCAUGAAGUCCUGGGUUUGAUCCCCAGCCCU